CAUUGUCGUCGGCGGCGGCGGCAGCGGAGGGCCGGCGCGCACAGGCUGCCUGGCUGGCCCGCGAAACCCGGUCUAAAAAGGAACGGAGGAUACAAGAUGGCGCAUGUUGACUGCCACACGAGACCGCCAACCGCUAAUGACGGGCGUUAUAGCAACUGACUAAGCCGGUAACUGGUUGCUGUCCUGGUACACUUUGAAAUUCAUCGACACAGCACCGUAUCGACCUGCCAGAGGCCCAAAAGAAAAUGGCGCGGCCUCUUGAACUUUGACCAAGGCUUCCUUACAACAGUGGUACUGUACUUUGGCACGAAGAUCCCAAUGUGUACCAGGGCUGUAGACACGUACCUAAAAAGAAUAAAAUAAAUAACUGUUAACUGAUAGUUUAUGACUACCUUCGUAUCUUCAAAGCAGUUCC